rnacentral:lncRNA from 1 species
AUCACAAGGAUUUGCACUUUCGAAAAACCUGCUAAACAUGAAUUUCCGAUUCUUAGGGCGCCGAUGGAUAGCUAUAGACCGAGUUGGAGAGAUAGGCCUGUUGAUAUUGCCCGGAAGCUUGUUGUUGUUCCGAAUUAUAGAAAGUGGUUAGCAAUGGAUGACCGCGUGGGCGUGGUUGUGGAUUAGGAAUGCACAAACUGCUCUGGUGGUAAGGUUUCGACAAAUGGCGCAUGUGCUGGCAGGAAACCGAACUAAUUUGUCACCGUAGAGUCGCCAGUUGCCACCAGGUGAUUGCAGGUUUAAGGUGCUGACUGAGGAAGACUCUGCAGAGGAAUUUUCAGCGAGCAGUUACCAAUUAGUUCGGUUUGUUGGCAUAACGGCAUCAAUGCAUCACGACAGAGAAUAUACACACGCGCACACACACACGUGUAUAUAUAUAUAUAUAUAUAUAUAUAUAUGUGUGUGUGGAUUAAUUUUUGGGUGUAAAUCACUGGAUGGUUAUAGGUUUUGAAGGAGGUUUAGGGUUUGGGCGUUGCUUACUGUGGCAGUUGAUUUCCUCGCAAGAGCUUAGCAACUAUGAUUGCUUCCCCUCAUGUCGAUGGAUUACUGUAGGAUGCAAUCGGCUCAGCACCAGUCAUCAUCUUCGAACUGCUCUUUGUUACCGCUGCAGAAGGAUGAGUUGAGCCACUACUAUUCUGCGUUGGCAAUUUGAAAAAGCCAAAUUGCUGAAGAAGAGAGUAGAGAUGUGGACAUCUACGUUUUCUGAAACCUUACAUUACUGAGUAAAUUGAUGCAGUUCGUCGCGAAAUAUUGCUGCAAACGGAUCCAGCAUGGUGCUUCAUUAUCCUCUCGUCACCAAGGAUCGAUACAUACUGCUCCGAAGAUAACAGGCAUUUGUUAUGUCGAGGAUUUUGACAUAACAAAUGCCUGUUGGACUGCAAGUUGGGGGGGGG